rnacentral:tRNA from 1 species
GGGGUCGUAGCUCAGUUGGUAGAGCACCUGCUUUGCAAGCAGGGGGUCGUCGGUUCGAGACCGUCCGGCUCCACCA